GACGAACGCUGGCGGCGUGCUUAACACAUGCAAGUCGAACGGAAAGGCCUCUUUCGGGGGGUACUCGAGUGGCGAACGGGUGAGUAACACGUGAGUAACCUGCCCUUGACUUUGGAAUAACUUCAGGAAACUGGGGCUAAUACCGGAUAGGAGCUCCUGCUGCAUGGUGGGGGUUGGAAAGUUUUGGCGGUUGGGGAUGGACUCGCGGCUUAUCAGCUUGUUGGUGGGGUAGUGGCUUACCAAGGCUUUGACGGGUAGCCGGCCUGAGAGGGUGACCGGCCACAUUGGGACUGAGAUACGGCCCAGACUCCUACGGGAGGCAGCAGUGGGGAAUAUUGCACAAUGGGUGGAAGCCUGAUGCAGCAACGCCGUGUGCGGGAUGACGGCCUUCGGGUUGUAAACCGCUUUCGCUCAUGACGAAGCUUUGUGUGACGGUAGUGGGUAAAGAAGCACCGGCUAACUACGUG
rnacentral:rRNA from 1 species